rnacentral:rRNA from 1 species
UUCAACGGCCGCGGUAUCAUGACCGUGCAAAGGUAGCGCAAUCACUUGUCUUUUAAAUAAAGACCCGUAUGAAUGGCCCGACGAGGGCUUAACUGUCUCCUCUUCCUAGUCAAUUGAAAUUGAUCUCCCCGUGCAAGAAGCGGGGAUCUCUCCAUAAGACGAGAAGACCCUGUGGAGUUUUAGACACUAGGCAGCCUUCCCCCACCGCCCCCACAAGGACAUAUUACAAGAACCUGCCCCCGUGUCUUUGGUUGGGGCGACCACGGCAGCACAAAAACCCUCCACGCGGAACGGAGCCACUGCCCCUUAAACAAGGGCCACCGCCCUAAUUACUAGAACCUCUAACCUAUGAUCCGGCACGCCGAUUAACGGACCAAAUUACCCCAGGGAUAACAGCGCAAUCUCCUUUUAGAGACCUUAUCAAAAAGGAGGUUUACGACCUCGAUGUUGGAUCAGGACAUCCUAAUGGCG